rnacentral:rRNA from 1 species
UACGAAGGGGGCUAGCGUUGCUCGGAAUCACUGGGCGUAAAGGGUGCGUAGGCGGGUCUUUAAGUCAGGGGUGAAAUCCUGGAGCUCAACUCCAGAACUGCCUUUGAUACUGAAGAUCUUGAGUUCGGGAGAGGUGAGUGGGACUGCGAGUGUAGAGGUGAAAUUCGUAGAUAUUCGCAAGAACACCAGUGGCGAAGGCGGCUCACUGGCCCGAUACUGACGCUGAUGCACGAAAGCGUGGGGAGCAAACAGG